rnacentral:tRNA from 2 species
UGGGGAGUAGCCAAGUGGUAAGGCACCUGCCUCUGGAGCAGGCAUUCGGGGGUUCGAGUCCCUCCUCCCCAGCCA